rnacentral:rRNA from 1 species
GACGAACGCUGGCGGCGUGCUUAACACAUGCAAGUCGAACGGAAAGGCCCUGCUUUUGUGGGGUGCUCGAGUGGCGAACGGGUGAGUAACACGUGAGUAACCUGCCCUUGACUUUGGGAUAACUUCAGGAAACUGGGGCUAAUACCGGAUAGGAGCUCCUGCUGCAUGGUGGGGGUUGGAAAGUUUCGGCGGUUGGGGAUGGACUCGCGGCUUAUCAGCUUGUUGGUGGGGUAGUGGCUUACCAAGGCUUUGACGGGUAGCCGGCCUGAGAGGGUGACCGGCCACAUUGGGGCUGAGAUACGGCCCAGACUCCUACGGGAGGCAGCAGUGGGGAAUAUUGCACAAUGGGCGGAAGCCCGAUGCAGCAACGCCGCGUGCGGGAUGACGGCCUUCGGGUUGUAAACCGCUUUCGCCUGUGACGAAGCGUGAGUGACGGUAAUGGGUAAAGAAGCACCGGCUAACUACGUG